GAACAAUAAUAAAAAUCAUCUUAACUUUCUUAUACCAACACCACACUGUUUGCAGUUUAAUUAGUGGUACUCAAAGGGAAUCGGGCUCUAACUUUAAAACAAAAUCAGUCCCCCUUGAGCAAGAGGAAAUUUGCCCACACAGGGCCAUGGUCAGAUCAUGGGAAAGAUGAGAAAUCCGGGUGAGUCUGGGUGGCAGCUAAACAUCUUGUGUCUUUUGAUGAUCGAAAUCUGCAUAUACAUCCCAAACAUUUCUCUUUUUCCCCCUUUCAAGCUGCUUUUCUGUUAAUGUGUGAAAACAGUACAACUUGAGGGAAAUGCAAUCCACAUGUUUUGGUGCAUUUACACUUAUAUGCUCUUGAGAAUAUCAAAAUGGCCUAGCAAUAUAUUUUCCGAUAGCUUUUUUGUCUUUUAUAGAAACGUAAUUAUAAACUUGGUUAAAAAAAACAAAAACAAAAGCCAACUUAAUAAAAAAUUUUUUUAAAAAAGCUAACUUAAUCCCCAAAGGACAUAGACUCAAUCUAAGUUCAGAUUCUUGAAAUUUAAACAUUCUUUAAAUAAAUUGCCAAUUUGAUCUUUAAAUGAAACACAAAAGAUGCAUUAAGCGGCCUUCAUUUUACAACUUAAGUUGUAUCUUAAGGUAAGGUAAAAACUCCAUGGUUGGCUCAACUUUAGGAGUAGCUACUAAUCAGGGAAAAGAGGACAGAGUUCAGGGAUACCCAGACUUAGGUGCCCAUUGGCACUCAGCUUCCCCACUGAGUGGGGACACUCAGCGAGUGUCAAUUUUCCCAUCUGUAAAAAUGGACAUCAUAAUGAAUGGCUUACUGAACUGUCCUGGAGAUUAAACAAAUUGUGUCUUUAAAGUGCUCACAUAGACACCAUAUAUAGAGAAGGACUCAGCAAAUGUUCAUUGUUCAUCACUCCUUCCUUUCAUAUUUGAAUGUUCCACAGCAAUGAGACCAUUAGAAUCUAUUCACAAAAUAUAUUUGCACUUAAGUACAGUGAGCUGCUUUCUUCCUUUAAAUUGAAAGAAUGAAAAGAUUAAUCCCAUUAGGACAAGAAGACAAGGCACCAAAAGGCAAAGUGAGUUACUUAAGGCCACAGGCAGACUUGAGGGCCCAGCAAAAAAGAAAAAGUAGGUUGGGUCUUUGAGGGGUUUAUGGCGGUGCUGAGGACAUUCUUUAAAUCUCUGUGGGGUAGUGCUUCUCUAGCUUGUCGGCGCUUUACCAUACACUCUCCUCAAAUCCCUAAAAUAGCUUGCAUUACCUUUCUCUUGCAUUUUUAAUGUAACUAAAAUUCAGUUUUUGCUUAAUUGUUUGAAAGCAUGUGGCUUCUUGCAAUAAAUUGGAGGACAAGGUUCACAGAAACACCUUCCACAGACACAGGGUCCUGAGCUGGUUGGACCAAUGGGCCAGCCACUCCAACAGUCACAUGGCCACUGUGCCUUACUUGAAUCUCUGAUGAAGGACCAGCUGGGGAAGCAUUUCAAGGUCUCUCAUUCCUUCCCCCUCUGUGCAGGAUCCCGAUCUUACUCAGGGGAUGAGCCCAGAGACACAAGUACUGCUAAUGCCAUAGCGGAUAAAGAUACAACACAUGGAAUUAUGGUUCCAGAGAAGCUGAUACAUAAUGACAUAUACCUCACAACCCUGAGAUCAUGACCUGAGCCAAAAUUAAGAGUCAGACACUUAACCGACUAAACCACCCAGGCACCCUCGGGAAGCAUAUUCAAAGAAGACAAUGUUCCUGUGGGAUGCAGCCCAACUGUCAUCUCUUCAGGGACCAAAGAGUUUCUACCUGCUAUAAGGCUAG
rnacentral:lncRNA from 1 species